UAUUGAAAAACAAAAUAUUUUUUUGUGACUCUAAUCUAGGCUUUAUUUUUUAAUUCAAAGAACUAGAAAACAUGGUGAAGAUUGCAAUCAAGAUAGCAUUUGUAAUGAUCUUUUUCGCUUUAGUAGUCACCAACGGAUUUGAUGUCCCAAAAAUACCAAGAAAAGUGGUGCCUGAGACAAAGGGUUGCCCUGGAAAUUGCGCAUAUCUACAACCAUAUUGUGAUCCACUAUUUCCUGCGUGUCUAUAUGGCCAUUGUACAUGUGCAAAGUUAAGCACAAUAGAAGAACACCACAUUGCUGUAGAUGCUGAAAAACAAAACUAGUGCCUACGUGCAUACUGUUACAAAUAAUGUAACAUUACCACCUAUGUUAAAAUAAAAUAUCUAAAUAUUGGAAUUUAAUAAUUUGUUAUUACUCAUGGAUGUAAAAUUCGUGAUGUCUUGUAUACUUAUAUAUUACCAUGGAACUAUUAAAUAAAAAAAUAAUUAAGUUUAUAA